rnacentral:ncRNA from 2 species
AUUGGCAAACCUAGGGAAAUCUAGAGACGCAAAGCUAAAGGGGCUAAGGUUAUAUGAUAACUAUGCUAGCCAGUUGCCGAA